AAACGAUGUAUGUGACACUAUGAGAAGGUGUACUCUCAAUGUGAGGUGAAAUUGGUCUGUGGAAACUAGGACUUUUCUUUUUAUGAUUUUCUGAAUGUAUAGACAAAACAGCCGAAACAUGAGAUUUGGGGGGCUCUUAUUUUGGAAUACAACAUCAGAAUGUCCUAAAACGGUGUGAUUGACACUGAGAAGGUGUACUCUCCAUCUGAGGUAAAAUUGGUCUGUGGAAACUAGGACUUUUCUUAGUUUUAGAAUGUAUGGACAAAACAUCGUAUAUAUGAGUGUUGGAGGGCUUUUAUUUUGGAAUUUAGCAGCCGACAGUGUCAGACUGUGAGGUGUACUAUCAUUUUCGGGUGACUUUGGCCUGUUAAAUUUUUAUUUAUAUUUAUUUAUUUAGGCCUUUUUUCCAUUUACUCGGGGAGACUUUUGUUUUGGAAUUCAGCAUAUCAUACAUUGACAGGGUCCGAGGUGUACUAUCAUUUUUUUUCAAUCACUAUCAUGAUUCGACACUCUGAUUCAUAACGCUCCGAAUCUUCCUGAAGCAGUGUUUUGAAAUCGGCCAUCACUAAAUAAUUCGUUUUUUUUUUUUUUUUUUUUUGGCGCACCAAAAAUAUUCUCGUUGCUUUAUAAUAUUAAUAUUGAACCACUGUACUCACAUGAACUGAUUUAAAUAUGUUUUUAGUACAUUAAUGGAUCUUGAGAGAGGAAAUGUCAUUGCUCCCUAUGUAGGCCUCACGGAGCCAUCGGAUUUAAAUAAAAAUAUCUCAAUUUGCGUUCCGAAGAUGAACGAAGGUCUUAUGGGUGUGGAACGGCGUGAGGACUUGUUGCGCUUUGUGUGUUCAUUUGGCCCGCUCUGGGAGUAACGUUAAACGACAGGCGACUGCUGUGCGAGGAUGCGCAAUCUUCUCAGCUUCUUCAGAAGAGAGGGACAAAAUGAUUUAUGAACUCAAACCAACUAUGGAGAGGAGCCCUUCUCCUUGGUCUUCCUUUCUUAAAGGAAUAGUUCACACAAAAAUAAAAAUUGUCACCAUUUACCCAACCUCAUGUCUUUAAUAAGACUUUUGUCCAUCUAUGGAAGACAAAUGAAGAUAUUUUUAAUAUUGUCAUCUUUUUUAUUCAUUUAUUUGUAUCCAUUUACAGUCUAGAUAAGUAUUUUUAAGCUUCACAAAUGCAGUUAUUGUAGUAAUCCAUACCAAUAUUUAUAUAUGAAUAAAAUCCUUAAUUAUAUCUGUUUAUAUCAUUAUAAAGCAAUCAUGUCUGUUCAGAAAAUUAAAAAAUUUUGGACUCCCAGAUUUGCAAUGGAUGGACAAAAAAUUGAGAGAAUAUAAAAAAUAUCUUCAUUUGUGUUUCAAAGAUUAGCAAAAGUCUUAUGGUUUUGGAAGGACAUGAGGGAGAGUAAAUUAUGACAGUUUUCUUUUUUGGGUGAACUAAUACUUUAAAGAGCAGCCCUCCAAGUUCAUCAAAAUGUGUGAGGUGGCGACAGGGAUGAUACUGGUCAAAAAGGAGAAUGACCUUCCCCAAUGAAGAUCACUGAUGUGACAGUGCUUUUAAAGGAGAAGAUUGUCCUGGACAAUUUAAAGGAUGUUGCAUGCCUUUGCUGUGCUGAUGGAGCUUCAUGACUGGACAUCAGUUAUCCUAAGGAGGUCAUGAAAAUUGGCCGUGAUGCGUGUUCUGUACGUAUUCAUGGACUUAAUGAACUUUUAGCAUAUAAUCUGACAAAUGUUCGAUGCUUGUUCAUUGUUGUUUAGUGGAGGAAUUCACACUCUCAUUCAAACUCACAUUCUUUCACAUGUAUACCUGCCUUAUGCUGCGUUCACACCGAAUGCGAAUCGCGCGUCAAAUUCACGUUGGACGCUUCAACAUUUUGAAGUCAGAUGCUUCAGACACGCGUCAAAUUCGCUCUAUUCACACGUCUAAACAAAGUGUGUUCAGACGCGAAUUCACGUCAUGGGAGGGGCUUCUGCCUGGUGUGCUACCCAGUGUAUUUGCCGGCCUCCUUGCCAGAUAAUGGCGGAUAUGGAUGCUGCUGAGUAGUAGCGGCAAUUUAGCUCGGUUAUGCCGGCCGGCUUUUGCUAGCUAGCAGGUGGGCUAGUAUCAAUGGCUAAAAUCAUGCAAAGCGUUUUACAACUUACCAGAUUGUCCGAUUUUCUCGCUUAUCCUCUUCCAGGCAAGGUCCUUUUUAUUCCUGUCUCGAUAAAAAUAUGAUGACACAUCAUAGAGCUCAGGGUGGCCACACACAGCGACUAUUAAUUUGUCCUCCAUCUUUGUUCUAGUCUCCACCGCUGAUCACAUCAUACACACGUGACUACCAAAGCAGAGUCCCUGAUUGGUUAACGUGCCGCGAAUAUUCGCCAAAGUUCAGAUUUUUCAACUCUGGCGUCUAGGGCGUCAGACGCUCGAUUCGCACGUGUGAACGCUCAAUUCACGCCACACCAUUCGCGCCGCAGGACGUCUAGACGCGCGUUUACAUUGACUUAACAUGUAAAUCAGACGCGUUCGGUGUGAACGCAGCAUUAGAGAAUUCAAUAACUAACAAAUGUUAUAAUGUCAGUGUUAAUGUUGUGGUUUAUUUGUGUUUAGUCAUGUUUGUAAAACAAACAAAAAAACUUUAGUCAUGUUAACUUAUUAUAACUCUUGUAAUAUAGCUCCAUAUUUUAGGCAACAAUAGAGAUUUUAAGUAAUUAUUACCAAGUAGUUUUGUAAACAACUUAAGGUUAUGGAUUUAUAGUUAUAAGUUUGAAAUUGAGUGAACUUUGGAAGUUAACUUGUUACUUUUGUUUACUUAAAUAAAUUAUUGCAAUAUUUAAUACAAUUACUUAAAGUUGAAACCAGUGAAUAAUUUUAUAGUGUAGUGUUUUCGUUGGCGGUGGAUAAUAUGCACAACAAAAAUCUUAUAUUUGUCUUAUUUAUAAGAUUUAUUUAUUUUUAUGUCUUAUUUGGUCUUAAAUGCCAGUUCUAUUCAUCAAUGUUCUCUGAAAUGUGACAAACAAUUUCAUUUAUCUGUAUAAACUGUGUGGCUGUUGAUUUGCAAUUCUUUUCUUAUUUUCAUCUCACAUGCAUGUUGUUACUUUUGACCAUGUUCUUGUUUUUAAUAAAUUUUUACCUUUUGAUAGUCA